rnacentral:rRNA from 1 species
AGUGAACGCUGGCGGUAGGCCUAACACAUGCAAGUCGAACGGCAGCACAGUAAGAGCUUGCUCUUACGGGUGGCGAGUGGCGGACGGGUGAGGAAUACAUCGGAAUCUACUUUUUCGUGGGGGAUAACGUAGGGAAACUUACGCUAAUACCGCAUACGACCUACGGGUAAAAGCAGGGGAUCUUCGGACCUUGCGCGAUUGAAUGAGCCGAUGUCGGAUUAGCUAGUUGGCGGGGUAAAGGCCCACCAAGGCGACGAUCCGUAGCUGGUCUGAGAGGAUGAUCAGCCACACUGGAACUGAGACACGGUCCAGACUCCUACGGGAGGCAGCAGUGGGGAAUAUUGGACAAUGGGCGCAAGCCUGAUCCAGCCAUACCGCGUGGGUGAAGAAGGCCUUCGGGUUGUAAAGCCCUUUUGUUGGGAAAGAAAAGCAGCAGGUUAAUACCCCGCUGUUCUGACGGUACCCAAAGAAUAAGCACCGGCUAACUUCG